CAGCAGCCGCGGUAAUACGAAGGGUGCAAGCGUUACUCGGAAUUACUGGGCGUAAAGCGUGCGUAGGUGGUGGUUUAAGUCCGUUGUGAAAGCCCUGGGCUCAACCUGGGAAUUGCAGUGGAUACUGGGUCACUAGAGUGUGGUAGAGGAUAGUGGAAUUUCCGGUGUAGCAGUGAAAUGCGUAGGGAUCUGGAGGAAUACCGGUGGCGAAGGCGGCCCCCUGGACAAAGACUGACGCUCAGGUGCGAAAGCGUGGGGAGCAAACAGGAUUAGAUACCCCCGUAGUCCCUGUCUCUUAUAC
rnacentral:rRNA from 1 species